CCUACGGGGGGCUGCAGUAACGAAUAUUGGGCAAUGAGCGAAAGCUUGACCCAGCGACGCCGCGUGUAGGAGGAAGUCCUUCGGGAUGUAAACUACUGUCAGGGGGAAGAAAGUCCGUUUCGGCGGAUUGAUCUAACCCAGAGGAAGUCACGGCUAACUUCGUGCCAGCAGCCGCGGUAAGACGAAGGUGGCAAGCGUUGUUCGGAAUCACUGGGCUUAAAGCGUGUGUAGGCGGAAGCGUAAGCGUCUUGUGAAAUCCCUCGGCUUAACCGAGGAAUUGCUUGAUGAACUGCGCUUCUUGAGGCAGGUAGGGGUGCGAGGAACUCUUGGUGGAGCGGUGGAAUGCGUAGAUAUCAAGAGGAACGCCGGUGGAGAAGUCGUCGCACUGGGCCUGUCCUGACGCUGAGACACGAAAGCGUGGGGAGCGAACGGGCUUAGAUACCCGGGUAGUC
rnacentral:rRNA from 1 species